rnacentral:rRNA from 1 species
AUUGAACGCUGGCGGCAUGCUUUACACAUGCAAGUCGAACGGCAGCGCGGGCUUCGGCCUGGCGGCGAGUGGCGAACGGGUGAGUAAUGCAUCGGAACGUGCCCAGUAGUGGGGGAUAGCCCGGCGAAAGCCGGAUUAAUACCGCAUACGACCUGAGGGUGAAAGCGGGGGACCGAAAGGCCUCGCGCUAUUGGAGCGGCCGAUGUCGGAUUAGCUAGUUGGGGGGGUAAAGGCUUACCAAGGCGACGAUCCGUAGCUGGUCUGAGAGGACGACCAGCCACACUGGGACUGAGACACGGCCCAGACUCCUACGGGAGGCAGCAGUGGGGAAUUUUGGACAGUGGGGGCAACCCUGAUCCAGCCAUGCCGCGUGCGGGAAGAAGGCCUUCGGGUUGUAAACCGCUUUUGUUCGGGAAGAAAUCCUCUGGGCUAAUACCCCGGGGGGAUGACGGUACCGGAAGAAUAAGCACCGGCUAACUACGU